rnacentral:lncRNA from 1 species
UAGCAUACGACGUCGUUCCUUUUCUUUUCCCCUCUUUGUUUCGAUUGAACCCUAGAAAUUAUCUAUAUGGUUUGCAGUAAUUGUUCGAGAUUUUGAUCACCUGAAGCCUUCAAAAUGGAGCUGGCUUCCAUUCAUCUCAGCUCCUACUACGCCGUCUCGCCUAUACGACCACCGGCAUCUGCCGCCAGAAGCUCAUCUUCGUCCCUUCCUAUUAUCAAAGCUACCUUUCCAGAGAUUUAUUCAUCUCGUUUCGUUUCUAAUCCAAAGGUAUUUGAUCCUAUAAGUUCAUUCCUGCUAUUUCUAUUCUUCUCCUUCUUAAUACUAUUAAUUUUCGGUUUUAAUGUCUGAAAAUGAGGAUAGAAUUAGUCAUUUAUAUUGGUGAUUACGUUGUGAAGUGUGUAGCAUGGUUGGAGGUGGAAAACAUCUUUAUUUGGUGUAUGACUAAAGUUUUAAAUCCGUGUAAGAAAGGUUUUGACAGAGUUGUUUACUCAUGAUGUUGUGCCUCUAGUAUAUAUGCUAUCUAAAAUAUGAUCGAGUAGCUAUAAUUAGAUUGGUUAUGUACCAUGUUUAAUGAGUUUAUGCCGAGAUUGAUACAUCUUUCAGUAAGGAGAUAUGAAGCUUUGAAUGAAGUUUUCAUUUUUGAAAAAUUUGCUCCUAUUGGUAUGCAGGCUUUCUCUUGCCAAGUGAGAAAGUUAGAUGUUCGUCUUCGUCCCAUGCUGCUGGUCUUGAUAAUGCAACAGCUGCAGCGANCGCUCUCUUUGACGUUGUCACCACGAAGAAGAAUUCACGACUUUAGAUAGAAUAAUUAUGCAGAAUUUACUGUUGGAAGAAAAUUUCAAACUUUAGAAAGAAUAAUAAGAAGAAUUCACCUUGAUGCAUCCACCACAAAGAAUAAUUCAUUUUGACGCUGCCACCACAAAGAGGAAUUCACGAUUUUAGGAAAAAGAAUAAUGCAAAAUUCACUCUUUUGGAAGCAAAUUUCAAAUUUUAGAAUGAAGAACACAUAAUUCACUGUUAGAAGCUUAUAGAAUUUAACUAUUGUAUUGAAAAAUUAAUGGUAUGAACAAAAUUAUCUUUUUUUACAAAAAUUAAUUAAUUUUUAUAUUUUUUAAGUGAAUAUCUUUUAUUUUUUGCUACAUAAAAAUAAAUAUUUUAAUGUAUUAACUCAAUAAAAAAAAUAGUAGUAUAUCUAAAUUAGAAAAGGAAGCAAGUAUGCCCAAAGUUUGUGUGUUCACUUACUAAUAUCCCUUUUUUUUUGAGAGGACUAAUAUCCAAUUUUCAAUUCGACCUUAUAACUAAUGGGAAUUAGCAUACGACGUCGUUCCUUUUCUUUUCCCCUCUUUGUUUCGAUUGAACCCUAGAAAUUAUCUAUAUGGUUUGCAGUAAUGUUCGAGAUUUUGAUCACCUGAAGCCUUCAAAAUGGAGCUGGCUUCCAUUCAUCUCAGCUCCUACUACGCCGUCUCGCCUAUACGACCACCGGCAUCUGCCGCCAGAAGCUCAUCUUCGUCCCUUCCUAUUAUCAAAGCUACCUUUCCAGAGAUUUAUUCAUCUCGUUUCGUUUCUAAAUCCAAAGG